rnacentral:tRNA from 1 species
AAAUGAGAAGCUUAUAAAACAAAGCAUUUAGUUUCGACCUAAAAGAUAGGAUUAGAUACCCUUAUUUU